rnacentral:rRNA from 1 species
UUGACCUCGGAUCAGGUAGGGAUACCCGCUGAACUUAAGCAUAUCAAUAAGCGGAGGAAAAGAAACCAACAGGGAUUGCCUCAGUAACGGCGAGUGAAGCGGCAACAGCUCAAAUUUGAAAUCUGGCUCUUUCAGGGUCCGAGUUGUAAUUUGUAGAGGAUGCUUCGGGUGUGGCUCCGGUCUAAGUUCCUUGGAACAGGACGUCAUAGAGGGUGAGAAUCCCGUAUGUGACUGGUUGCCUAUGCUCAUGUGAAGCUCCUUCGACGAGUCGAGUUGUUUGGGAAUGCAGCUCAAAAUGGGUGGUAAAUUUCAUCUAAAGCUAAAUAUUGGCCAGAGACCGAUAGCGCACAAGUAGAGUGAUCGAAAGAUGAAAAGCACUUUGGAAAGAGAGUUAAACAGUACGUGAAAUUGUUGAAAGGGAAGCGCUUGCAACCAGACUUGCACGUAGUUAAUCAACCGGUGUUCUCACUGGUGCACUUGAUUACGUUCAGGCCAGCAUCGGUUUCGGUGGUUGGAUAAAGGCCGGGGGAAUGUGGCUUCUUUCGGGGAGUGUUAUAGCCCUCGGUGCAAUGCAGCCUACCGGGACCGAGGACCGCGCUUCGGCUAGGAUGCUGGCGUAAUGGUUGUAAGCGACCCGUCUUGAAA